rnacentral:lncRNA from 1 species
UUUUCCGACCCCCACGCCCCUGGGAUGGUAAAGCUGCAGCCCACCUCGUCCUGGGGCAGAGUCUCCUUGCCUGCCUGCUUGCAUCGCUCACCAGCGUCCUAUCCUAACACCUCUGUUUCGUGCCCAUCACUUUGUCUCUCGCUGAAUUCCUUCUGCGUGGAGACAUAGAGAACCUCAACCUCAGUGAGUCCAGACGCAGGAGGAGAGCGUUUCCCAGACUCCUUGCCCCUGAGUGAGGAUACGUGCCUGGUUCUGGCCAAGGGGCUGUGGCUGAUACAGCAGGUGUCACUCUGAGUCAAAGCAAAGGAUGUGCAGACAUGAAGUCUCCACGCUCUCUCUUCUUCACCCCUUGUCUCAAGGUGUCAGAGGCACCAGCUUAUGAGGGAUGUAUGAUUGUCAGCACCUCCACUUUACAGAAGAGGACACCUGGGUAUGAUGAUAAGCUGCCCAAGGUCCCAUAUCUGGUGCUUCAUAAUCCUGGCAAAGCCACUAAGCUGAGCAGAGCUGCAGAAAUUCCCUGGCUUUCCUACUGGAAGAUGUCGAUCAAUGAGGGCGCUCGCGGCCUUUGAUGUUAGGCAUCCACGCCCGCUUCUGUAAAGACUUUCGGCUCCACAAGAGAACGGGAAGUCACUGUGAAGAAAGAGGCAGGCGAUGUAACCGGAAAAGCGCAGGUUUGAUGUCAAACAGACCUGCGUGGUUCCACCGCUUUCCGACUGUGUGACACCUCCCCCCCCCCACCACCGGUCCAGUUGCUCUCUGAACCCAAGUCUUGGAAAAUGGAACCAAUAAUACCUGUUCUUCAAGACUGUUCCUGCUGGAAGCUCCAAGAUUCAUCUGAAGGCGUGAUCACAUCCUCAAUGUUGAGUGGACUAUGAACCGGCUGCCAGAGACAGGGUUCCAAGCCGGGCCAGGCCCAUCCCAAUGCCCACCCGAAAAGACGGGACAGAGGAAAGAAAGAAACAAAAUCCUGGGGCUCCAUUGGCUUUCUUUUUGACUCCAGCUGAAGUUGCUGCAUAGUGUGGCCUUGCCAGUCCUCGCCUUGAAAAAUGAGCGGAGCUCCUUUCUUUAUGAACUUUGGUGACGUGGCAUUAUGAUGUUACGGCAGAAGAGAUUAAUAACAGCGCCUCGUUUCUGUUCCGCCACCAUUAGAGGGCUGGAAGCGACUGCCGUGAUGGAUCAUCUAAUCCCACAGCCUCAUUCUGCAGAGGACCCCGAGCCUCGACUUGGCCAAGGUCACACAGCUGGGCCACACCCAUGGCGUAUGGUUUUCACAUGGAAUCGGAGCUGCAGUUGCCGGCCUAUGCCACAGCCACAGCAAGGUAGGAUCUGAGCCAAGUCUUUGACCUACACCACAUCUCACGGCAAUUCCAGAUCCCUGGACCCACUGAGUGAGGCCAGGGAUUGAACACGCACCCUUAUGGAUACUAGUUGGAUCACAACGGAACUCCCUGAAAAAUCAAGGUCUUUAAAGCAAUUCAUCAACCCCACCAACAUCUUGGCAUAAGAAAAUUGAUUCUGUAAGUCAAAAGAACUUAUAACAUGGUAUAUUGGGAGGAUGGCAGGGCUUGGUAAGUGGUAGCAACGCAGCUGGUAGAUUUUUCUUUGUUGUGUCCUUGUCCUUACGCUCUUUUAGCCACAUUUUCAUUCAGGAUUCUUGGGUUGGAAGCAACAGAAAUGGACUCUUUUGGCCUUAAGCAAAAAGAAAAUUUGUUGAAAGGGCAUGGAGGAGUUCAUAGGAUUGACUAGAAGUUUGGAGAAGUAGGCUCAGGAGUCAAGGCAUUUAUAGAGGAGGGUAGGGUAGAGAGGUGAUAAAAAUAAUGCAACGGUCUUAUUUGGAAAUUGUACUGGAAUGUAAGAGUUUCAUCUUUCCUCCUCCCUCCCUCUCUCUCUCUUUCUGCCACUUCAUUCGAGAUUCCAAUUUCAGCGAAGGAGCAUCCAAUUGGCCUGUCUUGGUCAGAUUCCCACCACCCCCAUGGUUAGGGGAACACAGCAUAUUCGAAAUGGCAUUCCCACGAGGUACAUUCCAUGGAAAAGUAAUACCACAAAGAAAAUAUGGACACAGUUAUCAAAGGAAGAUAAAACAGGUGCUGGGUAGCCAACAAUAGCCUAUUUCCACUAUAUCCUUUAAAAAAAAUCCCAGUAACUCUUCUAUGAUUACUGAUUUUUCAGGAGAGAAAUUUAACAAUGGAAGAGUGUAUACAUAGUGAUGAAAAGAAUGGGAGGAUUUAUAAGAUACAAGUCAUUUUCUUUGAGUUGUGGGACAAUGGUUGGGUCCAUUUUUCUUCUGUUGUUUUUUCCUAUAGAGCACAUUUAUAACCUUUUAAAAGUAAACUAUAUUUUCUACUUUAAGAUGAGUGAAAUGAGGGGGGAGUGUCCCUUUUGACUGGGGACAUAGUCACUAGUUACUCUAUGUUAAUAACAGAAGCAUACGUUCCUCUCGAGGGGCAACAGUGUUCUUAUACAUUAAACUCUCAACAGAAACCAAAAGAACCACCACCAAAAAAAUCCCACCCAGUUUGGAAAGGACUUGUGCUUGUGGGUCGGGGGCAGAAGGAAGCAAUUUCCCUCCAUUUUCUGCCUGAGCAGGCCUUUUGCACUUUGAUAUUCGUUUCACUAAUAAGGUGUUUCAUUAUUUCUCCCACAAAAAGAGCUGGUGCUGUUAUGAGAUGCUGUUGAAGACUCUGGUUUGCCCAGAUGUGCCGCAGUGAAAACAGCCUUUCUCUGACGUGCAUGACUUGUGAGGAUGAUGGGACCUGUGGGAAGAGGGGAUCCUUUUUCAGAGUUUGGAAAGAGAGACAAAAUAACGCCGUCUGCCCUGCAUGGCUGACAGAAACACAUUCUUCCCUAAUCAGUGGGUCACUCACUUCCGCACUAUGUUGCAGGGAAGCAUCAUCUGAUUCCAAGCCUAAGGCUGGGUCAUCCGCGGCACUGACUUCUCCCGACCCUUCUCCGAGCUUCCUGUGCCAGUUUUCAUCAUCAAAUUUCUCUGCUCCCUUAGACCAGCGGAAAAGAAGUUAUGAGCUCUCUCCAUCAUUCGCCGGUCUCUUCGGCCCUUCCUCCUUUGAAGUUUUCUUAUUCGGGGUCUUUUUUCGCUUCUUCUCCAUGUUUCAUCCUCUCUCACUGUAACCUUUUUAUCUCUGGAGAGUUCUCUCUGUGCCUCUGGGCCCUUCUCUUUCUAGUUGGUUCUCAGAACCCAUUCUGGGAUUCUAUUUCAGUCCAUCCGUCUCUCCAACAGACCACGGGUGAAACCAGGGCCGGUAAUCAGUCCCAGCUGCUGGAGGCGUCCGCUCUGGGUCGGCCCCACGUUUGUGGGCUGAUGUUUUGCUUCCCAUAAUGCUCUGGGAGUACUGCUGCUCAGAGCUUGGCUUGUGCUUUU